rfam:Myotis brandtii contig273660, whole genome shotgun sequence.
GAGACACUCUUCUGGGGCAAGACUUGCUCCAGUGGGGCUUUGGUGCUCACUGAGUCUGCCCCCUGAGUGUGUCCCU